rnacentral:rRNA from 1 species
CCAGACUCCUACGGAGGCAGCAGUAGGGAAUCUUCGGCAAUGGACGAAAGUCUGACCGAGCAACGCCGCGUGAGUGAAGAAGGUUUUCGGAUCGUAAAGCUCUGUUGUAAGAGAAGAACGGGUGUGAGAGUGGAAAGUUCACACUGUGACGGUAUCUUACCAGAAAGGGACGGCUAACUACGUGCCAGCAGCCGCGGUAAUACGUAGGUCCCGAGCGUUGUCCGGAUUUAUUGGGCGUAAAGCGAGCGCAGGCGGUUAGAUAAGUCUGAAGUUAAAGGCUGUGGCUUAACCAUAGUACGCUUUGGAAACUGUUUAACUUGAGUGCAGAAGGGGAGAGUGGAAUUCCAUGUGUAGCGGUGAAAUGCGUAGAUAUAUGGAGGAACACCGGUGGCGAAAGCGGCUCUCUGGUCUGUAACUGACGCUGAGGCUCGAAAGCGUGGGGAGCGAACAGGAUUAGAUACCCUGGUAGUCCACGCCGUAAACGAUGAGUGCUAGGUGUUAGGCCCUUUCCGGGGCUUAGUGCCGCAGCUAACGCAUUAAGCACUCCGCCUGGGGAGUACGACCGCAAGGUUGAAACUCAAAGGAAUUGACGGGGGCCCGCACAAG